rnacentral:rRNA from 1 species
GACGAACGCUGGCGGCGUGCUUAACACAUGCAAGUCGAACGGGCCUUGUCCCCUUUUUUUUUGGGGGUGGGGUUAGUGGCGAACGGGUGAGUAACACGUGAGUAACCUGCCCCUCACUUCUGGAUAACCGCUUGAAAGGGUGGCUAAUACGGGGUGUUCUGGCCUGCUCGCAUGGGUGGGUUUGGAAAGAUUCGACCGGUUUUGGUUGUUUUGGUGGGGGAUGGGCUCGCGGCCUAUCAGCUUGUUGGUGGGGUGAUGGCCUGCCAAGGCUUUGACGGGUAGCCGGCCUGAGAGGGUGGGCGGGCACACUGGGACUGAGACACGGCCCAGACUCCUACGGGAGGCAGCAGUGGGGAAUAUUGCACAAUGGGCGCAAGCCUGAUGCAGCGACGCCGCGUGAGGGAUGGAGGCCUUCGGGUUGUGAACCUCUUUCGCCAGUGAAGAAGGUCCUGCUCUUUGUGGUGGGGUUGACGGUAGCUGGGUUAAUGAAGCGCCGGCUAACUACGUG